UGGUAAGAGCAGUGCAAAACGAGCCAUGAAUUGUGGCUCAAACCGGCCGAGAAGGUGCACGGUCAAGUCGCAUAAAUAACAUCAAAGUGUUUGCCUGCUGUCGAUCAGAGGUGGGCAGAUAUCCAUGAACUAGUUCUACAUUGUGUUAUACAAGAUAUCUAUAUACAAAUUUUUAUAUAUUCUCUUACGUACUUUUAUGCCUUCAAUUUAUAUUUGGGAGCUUAAGAUUUAAAUGCAAUAUCAUUAGCAAAAUACAAAGUCUUCAUUAAAUUACAUUUUGUAUUCCGUAAAUUGUGAAAGCAUAACAUUUUCAAGAGCUAUUAAAACGGUUUUCGUGGGAGUUUUAAUUAAUUAUUAUUCCCGUUGUGCAAACUUCUACCAAACAUGAAAUUAAAACGGAAAUUGCCUUGUGCUUCCACCAAGGUGUCUCUAUUUGCAAUCCCCCCACUAAGAUGAAUACCACACAAAAUGCACCUUAUUAGCAUUGUUAAAUUUAAUGCGGCCGCAGGCUACAAUUUUUCAAUAAAUCAUUAUAAUCUCGAGGAGCAUUGCCCGCCUGAUUCUGGCCGCAAAUGAAUUGCUCUGUUUUCCCGCUGAUUCCCAGGCUACCAUGUGAACUGGUUCGCAUGUGGGCCGCACAGAUCCAAGUGGUUGGGGUAAUAAAACGGCACAUAAUGCUUGGGCGGAUUGGGUGGUGGUGUCCGUUUGGGGAGCAGAACACACCGACUUGGCUACGCCCAAAACAAGUUCACUUUAAUUGGCAAUAAGCGGCCUCUGCACUUGGACUCUUGGCCAGAUGAAGCACUUUACCUUUCAGUAACUCAGCGGGGCGAAGUCACGUAACUAUGACAAGUUGGUAGCCACUUUUAAUCAGCGUAAAUAAAAAUUGAAAAUUGCCGCUAAUGGCGGCCGGUGGGCAUUGCAUUAACAGAAGCCAAGUGCCGUGUCCUAACACUUUAGCCAAAGUUUGCACAGCUGCUUUGAAAUUCUUUACUAGCCAAAGAUAAGCUAACUGUAAACGCAUGCCAGGCCAGGCCAGAAUCUCGUUUCUCACAUGCUUCUCAAUGGCUCUCAGUUGGCAGUCCACCCCCAGGUUGUCUUCCCGAUGCAGUUGCUCUCGCCGCUGCUCUGCAGUUGCAAAUUGCACGCAAUGCUCACGGGCCAAGAUUCAAGAUCCAAGAUCCGCUGAUGUGGCGUGUUUCAGCGGAGUCUUUGGGUCUAAGACCGCGGCUUAAUGAUGCCGCACAGUGCGCACAGGCUAUAAAGAUCGCCUGGCAUUUCAAUUCCAAAGCGGCCCAUAUACACGCUCAAAGCAGUUCUUUGUGAGAAAGGCAGUCCGAGGGGAAUAGUACCCUAACUGUAGAGAAAGCUUUCUUUCAAGUUUUAUUAACUUAUUUAUCUUUAUAGUUUUAUUACAACUUUAGCUUACAUUUAACUCUUUUAAUGCGAUAAUUAUCAAAUUGCCUCGUGUAUGAUUUGACUCUGGAAAAGCCAAUUUAUAGUGUUUCCCAAUAUUGAAGCUUCUCUCGUCAACAAAAUUGUUAUUAAAAUCAUAAGGGAUCAUUAGUAACUCAAUAUAUGUAUUUAACAUUUGGCAAAACCGUCCCAUGCCUUUGAACUCAUCUUGCGUGAACCCAUUUUGUGGAUCACCCCAAAAGACGUAUGUAUGUAACCCCGUACAAUCUUCGUCAUGGGCCAUUAUAAUUGUGAACCUCGGCUGAAUCCAAAUGCAUUUCGGUUUUGGGAACAGCCGCGCAUGCUCUCUGCGUCAAUUUUGUAGGGCAAGACGCAUUAAAAUAUGAGCACAAUCCUAGGUCGAGCGUGUGUAACCUGAGCUUUUCUUUUUUUAUUUUUAUACCCGUAUUAUGCGCGGGCAUGCAUAUUUAUACUAAAAACUCUGGCAAACUGGGUACCUUUCGCAGGCGAAGAUUCCGAGAAGUGCAGCCCGCCAAACGGUGUCCAUAAAAACAAAUUUAAUUGCAAGCUGUCACACACACACGAUGGAGGGAGUUGUGGAUUGGCAUCGUAGAUGGGUAUGCUUUUUUCCCUGCCCCCCCAAUUUUUUUUGGAGUCAGAUAGGCAGGGAGUCAUGGAGUCAGGGAGUCAGGGAGCUGGAGUAGAGGUCAGACCUCUGGCCCAGACAAAUGAUGUAAGCUAUGGAUAAGCCAAGUGGCCAUGUUGACACUGACGCACUGGUGAAAACUGAACGCAGACCAAAGAGCCAAGUGAAGAGUCGAGUCAGCCAAGUCAGCCAACAUCUAAUAUUUGCCGUCCAUCUGGCUGACAUUCGGAAUUGGACAGGCAGCUAAUGAAUACCUUACACAUGUCGGCAAACAAACGCAAAUAAUGUCAAUGGUCUGGCAGAUCCAACUCGUCAUGAGUCAGGUCAAAAAAAAAAAAAAAAACAAAAAAAACUGGAUGGAAUGGGAUAAGUGUAGUGGAGUUUUAGAUGCUGAUAAUGAUGAUGAUGAUGAGGCGGCUACAGCAGAUGUGCCAGUUUUCAGCUGUUGCUGUUGCUUUUGCGAUUGCUAUUGCUGCCACUGCCAAUGUUUGUCAAAGACUUUUCUACACGAUUUGGCCGCGUUUUUACCAAUUGGCAUUGAAGCAAUUAACAUCAGCAUGCAGCUGGAUUUCAAAGUGAGUCUCUGGCUAAAACUAGAACGGGAAUCGCACUGCCAACUCCAAGUGGCCGCCAGAUACGAGUACACGAGUGUUCUCUCCUCUGUCGAUUUAGAUUUCACAGAUUUCUGAUAUUUCCAGGAAUCGUGUGGCAGUUGGAACCUUUUUGUGCGCCAACAGCAACAACCACUGCGCAAAACUAAAAGUUCACAUCAUAAAUUUUAAAGUGUCACGAAUCUGUCUGGGAGGAAAAUAAAAAAAAAAAAAAAAUAUAAAAAAAUCAUUCAUAUGCCUGCAGUUAUCGUUCCCUCUCUAUCCAUCCACCCCCACGCUCACCCUCUCACUCUCUCCUCAAAGGGAAGCCGCACUCGGUCCCCCAGAAAGACGUGCCCGCUGGAAGCAGCCCCACCAACAUUGGCAGCCAGCCUGAGUGGAAUUCUAAUUUACACUGAGCAGCAGGAGAAAAGCCCUGGGAGUUCAUUGGGUUUUCCCAGACCCUUUCCCAUGACCUUUGCGAUGAACUUGUAAACGGCAUGUCGUUAAUACACUUUUAACGCGCGGUGUGGGCAGAACUUUUGUUUAAAUUUUGAGGGCUAUUUCUUAGGUAAAGUUCUAAUAAAAACUUCUUUUAUCUAUUAGAACAUCUGGUUUAUAAACUUUCUCUAUAUUAUUCGCUAUCUCGAGUAAAAGAUUUUAAAAAGAUUACUACCGUCUUCCAGCAAUUGGGCUUUUCAAAAAUCUCAAUUGCAUAAAACUUAUUAAACUCGAAUCCGAAUUGCUUCUCUGUUAGCACGCCAUUAUCUUACGAUCAGCCUUAUCUUAUAUCCUUUGAAAUCCACAAUCGCUCUUGACCCUUUUGUGUGUGCCCCAAUUGAGAGUACCGAUUUUCCCCGCCUUAUUUGUUUACUCCACAAGAACCCCCCUUCACUCAAAGAUGUGGGGCAGAUAGCCAACCCUGCUGGACAGUGUUUAUCGACUUUUAGCCCAGACUUUUGUUCUAUUUUCUAAGGCAGAGCGUUCUUGGCUCACAAUGCAAGUGCUGUUCGAUGUUGCCGUUGUUUUUUCUGCUGCUGCUGCAUGUUUCCUUUUAGCCAAAGUGGCAAAUUGACUGACAUGCAUUCGAGCCGAAACGUAACGAAACGAAAGGAAAGGAAGGGGGGAGGAGUGCAGGUGGAGCGAGGAGUGGGAACAGAAUCCCCCGACUUAAAGGCUUAAAUGCAGCUCCGCUUCAUUCCCAGCGCCAUUUGGCUGACUGGCUGGCGCAUUUGCAUAUCGGCUCGUAAAUAUGGAUGGGCCGACGGGUCUGCGGGUCUGCCGGGUCUACGAGUCUAUGAACUUAUUGCCAGACAAAUUGAAAUGCCUGAUUCGGCUGCAGAUGCUGAUUCUGGCCGGGGGAUUCAAGGUGGAGGAGGAGGAGGUUCCAUGGAGUACUCGUACUGGUUCUGCGAUUGCCUACAGCUGCUCGUUGAGCCCAUUCCCAUGCGUUACUUUGACACUAAACCGAUGAGGCUGAUUCUAAUUCAGAAUCAGAUAUGGAAAUUGAGAUAUGCACACGGGAAAAAACUGCUAUCAUGAUAUGCUACGAUUUAAUAGUCUUAGAAUAGCUGAAAUGCCAAGUUCCUUGGUGUAGAUCAUAGGAACCCCCACUCACCUGCGCUCGGGAAUUGUGCUGUAGUAGAGGAGCAGCGUGGCCAGCUCGUAGCAAUUGAGGCCGGCGGACGCCACACAGGCCGCGUCCACAGUCACAAGUGGGUCGCCUUGGAGGGUGCGUGUGCCUGGAAAGGAAUGGAGAUUUUAGAUGGGAGAUGGAGAUGCGAACGCAGUUAAGAGAUGGGCCAUAAAAGAACUCGAGAUGUGGGAAAUCGCACUGGUACGCGGUCUCAAUUGGUGCACCCUGGGUGGCCACUUUGCCUUCGAUAAUGUGCGAAAAAGCGUGAGCACAUUAAUUGAAAAGCGCCAACUUUAUGCACCACCACCAUUUCCACCAACCGCUUUUCGCCAAUAACACCAGGAAAAUCGCCAGCGGCAAAUUGCCUGGCGGGGCGUUACAAAAGCGAUUCCAAUUUAUAAGCAAAUUUUUUUUCAUGUUGAUUUCGGCUCAGUGAAAGUCUA